CAGAGCAAAGUUAAACGGGUGGCUGGACACACUGUAUGAUCAAGACCUAAAUCACAACAGCUGGAAAUAUCCCAUGGCUACAUGCCAGACAUUUGUAAGAGGCGGCUGAGAGGUCUUUUGUAUACAUGUAGAGCUCAUUAUGAAGAACGACGCCCUGCCCGAUUAAAGUGCUCUUCUUCAUUGUUCUGAUGUUACCCCACUUCUUAGACUCCACACAGAAAGAUGUUAUCAGGGUUUUAGUAUUGUUACCCCCGAUUACAAUCAACUGAUUAUUGGCGGCUCCCAAAAAGUGCAGGACGGUGAGGUCAGCGCUCGAUCGGCGCAGCACCAGUUUCUCUCCGGUUCUCUUGAUGUUCCCCAGUACAUAAAGGCAGUGCCCCAGACUGGUGGUAAGUGGGGAGUCAUGGGAUAGAGAUAGGGUGAACUGGAAAUCCGUCAGAGGGAGGGAAG